AUAGUUCAGUGAGUUGGUUUAAAUAAAAUAACUGUUACAUUUUACUAAUUUUUUUAAAUUUAAGGUGUCAAAAGUACUUACUCCAAUUUAAAUAUGGAGUUUGUAUCAGUAAAUAGAGUUAAUUUGAUGUCGUAAGAUAGUGUGCUGAUGGGUUUUAUGAAAUAUGUGAUAAUCCUAAUUUAAUCUCAGAACCAAUAAUACCAAAAUCUAUGAAUAAUACAAAUUCACAGCACAACAAACUAGAUUUAUAGGCUAUUUGGGAAUUUUACAAAUACAA